UUCGCGUUAAGGAUUGCAGUGAAAAGCCCACAGCGUGUGCAGGACAGGGCGGCAAAUGCAAAGCGAGGACUUGUAACGGAAAGCCUGACCGCCG
rnacentral:misc_RNA from 1 species